rnacentral:rRNA from 1 species
UCGAGCGGAAACGAGUUAACUGAACCUUCGGCCGCAACGUUAACGGCGUCGAGCGGCGGACGGGUGAGUAAUGCCUGGGAAAUUGCCCUGAUGUGGGGGAUAACCAUUGGAAACGAUGGCUAAUACCGCAUAAUAGCUUCGGCUCAAAGAGGGGGACCUUCGGGCCUCUCGCGUCAGGAUAUGCCCAGGUGGGAUUAGCUAGUUGGUGAGGUAAUGGCUCACCAAGGCGACGAUCCCUAGCUGGUCUGAGA